UGGCUCAGUGGUUAAGAGCACUGACUGCUAUUGCGGAGGUCCUGAGUUCAAUUCUCAG
rnacentral:tRNA from 1 species